GUCUACGGCCAUACCAUCGAGAAAACACCGGUUCUCGUCCGAUCACCGAAGUUAAGCUCGAUUGGGCGCGGUUAGUACUUGGAUGGGUGACCGCCUGGGAAUACCGCGUGCUGUAGGCA
rfam:Nematostella vectensis strain CH2 x CH6 NEMVEscaffold_2994_Cont43751, whole genome shotgun sequence.